rnacentral:lncRNA from 1 species
AUGGCAGGAGCCCUUCUAGGGGAAGUCAGCUACCCAGCAGCCAGUAGCCCUCGGCUGUCCACCCUCACUGCCUGGGGUCCCAUGGUGAGAGUGGGCAUCCAGCUUCUGCAGAGGGCCAGGCCGGACGGAGCUGGGGAGGGAGUGGGGCUGGCUCCUGGCUUGCACCGGCCUCGUGGAAUCCAGGCCUCAGACCUGAUCGCUGGCGAAACAGGCUCUAUGCGCCGGAGCCCCUGGUCUUCUGCCUCUCUCCUCCUCCUGGCCAGACUUUGCUCCUGGCUCAGCCACAGGUAUUUGCUAUGGAAAAGCUGCCCCUCCCGCCCCUCGGUGGGCCUGGGUCCACCUCCACCUCCUCUUCAGUUCCGCACCUUCCUCCCCUUUAAAACACCAGCCAGGCGCAGACCGGUUCUGGGCUUUUCCAUGGUGCUCCCGCCAAAGCUUGUGACCGAGUCCUUCCCGCCUAGGGCUGGUGGGCCUACCCUGCUGACAGGUCUCUCUCUGCUUUCUUUACUUAGAACUAACGCUCUCAUUCCCCACCCACAAAGGAAAAACAAAAGGGAAGAAGCCACAGCUGGCCCUGACUUGCUUUGGCACAGGUGUUUUUCCCCGGCCCCGCGUCGGGCACCCUGGUUCCUCUUCUGCCCUUGCCCCACGCGCCCUGGGGCCCCCACCCAGGCUCCCUCAGCCUCCCCUGGGUUGGGGCGGGGGCACCGGCUCCCAGCCCUUGGCCUGGGGUUUGGUGAACGCCUUUCCUGGACCGCGGGCCCACUUGAGGCUCCAGGCAGGGCGGCUGCGCUGGGGGGCCGAGGGCAGGGGUGGGGUCGGGCGUCCACCCUCAGGGUUGCGCCAGGGAGCAGGAAAGCCGACUCCCGAAGUUGGGGGCCUGGGAAAACUUGGGCCCUGGGUUGCCUGAGAAGCGGCGGGGAAAGGAGGCGGGCCAGGAGGAGGGGGCCGCGGACGCCGGCCGGGGGGCGGGACGCGGAGGGCGGUCGGUCCCGCCCGUCAGUCCGCCCCGCCCCGCCCCGCCUGCCGGGGAAGGGCCACGUUGCCCGCCCGGGCCGUCCGGCCCCGGCGCGCCGCAGGAAGGGCUGGCGAGUCGAAAGGCGAGGCGGCCGCGGCAGCGCCUGGGCACCGGGCUCGCUCCCUGCGCCCCCGGGCGGGCCAAGUUCGGGGCCAGGACGUUGGGAGGCCCGAGUGCAUGGCUGCUUGCUAAUCCCAUAGUCCAGAGGAAGCAUCCCCCGGACUGCAGGCAAGGGAGCCGGGCAAGCCGCGGGCAGCCUUGAACCCUCCGCUUGCCUGCCCUCCCCGGUGGGGGCCAGGAUGCUGAAGAAGCAGUCUGCAGGGCUUGUGCUGUGGGGCGCUAUCCUCUUUGUGGCCUGGAAUGCCCUGCUGCUCCUUUUCUUCUGGACACGCCCAGCACCUGGCAGGCCACCCUCAGUCAGUGCUCUCGAUGACCCUGCCAGCCUCACGCGGGAAGUGAUUCGCCUGGCCCAAGACGCCGAGGUGGAGCUGGAGCGGCAGCGUGGGCUGCUGCAGCAGAUCGGGGAUGCCCUGUGGAGCCAGCGGGGGAGGGUGCCCACAGCGGGCCCUCCCGCCCAGCCGCACGUGCCUGUGACCCCAGCGCCAGCGGUGAUUCCCAUCCUGGUCAUCGCCUGUGACCGCAGCACUGUUCGGCGCUGCCUGGACAAGCUGCUGCACUACCGGCCCUCGGCUGAGCGCUUCCCCAUCAUCGUCAGCCAGGACUGUGGGCACGAGGAGACGGCGCAGGCCAUCGCCUCCUACGGCAGCGCGGUCACGCACAUCCGGCAGCCCGACCUGAGCAGCAUCGCGGUGCCGCCGGACCACCGCAAGUUCCAGGGCUACUACAAGAUCGCGCGGCACUACCGCUGGGCGCUGGGCCAGGUCUUCCACCAGUUUCGCUUCCCCGCGGCCGUGGUGGUGGAGGAUGACCUGGAGGUGGCCCCGGACUUCUUCGAGUACUUCCAGGCCACCUAUCCGCUGCUGAAGGCCGACCCCUCGCUCUGGUGCGUCUCGGCCUGGAAUGACAACGGCAAGGAGCAGAUGGUGGACUCCGGCAAGCCCGAGCUGCUCUACCGCACCGACUUCUUCCCUGGCCUGGGCUGGCUGCUGCUGGCCGAGCUCUGGGCCGAGCUGGAGCCCAAGUGGCCGAAGGCCUUCUGGGACGACUGGAUGCGCCGGCCGGAGCAGCGGAAGGGGCGGGCCUGCAUACGCCCCGAAAUCUCCAGAACGAUGACCUUUGGCCGCAAGGGUGUGAGCCACGGGCAGUUCUUUGACCAGCACCUCAAGUUCAUCAAGCUGAACCAGCAGUUUGUGCACUUCACCCAGCUGGACCUGUCCUACCUGCAGCGGGAGGCCUAUGACCGGGACUUCCUCGCCCGCGUCUACGCGGCUCCGCAGCUGCAGGUGGAGAAA